AUUGAACGCUGGCGGCAUGCCUUACACAUGCAAGUCGAACGGCAGCACGGGAGCAAUCCUGGUGGCGAGUGGCGAACGGGUGAGUAAUAUAUCGGAACGUGCCCAGUCGUGGGGAUAACGUAGCGAAAGCUACGCUAAUACCGCAUACGAUCUAUGGAUGAAAGCGGGGGAUCGCAAGACCUCGCGCGCUUGGAGCGGCCGAUAUCAGAUUAGGUAGUUGGUGAGGUAAAGGCUCACCAAGCCGACGAUCUGUAGCUGGUCUGAGAGGACGGCCAGCCACACUGGGACUGAGACACGGCCCAGACUCCUACGGGAGGCAGCAGUGGGGAAUUUUGGACAAUGGGCGCAAGCCUGAUCCAGCAAUGCCGCGUGCAGGAUGAAGGCC
rnacentral:rRNA from 1 species